GAUGAACGCUGGCGGCGUGCCUAAUACAUGCAAGUCGAGCGAACGGACGAGAAGCUUGCUUCUCUGAUGUUAGCGGCGGACGGGUGAGUAACACGUGGAUAACCUACCUAUAAGACUGGGAUAACUUCGGGAAACCGGAGCUAAUACCGGAUGAUAUUUUGAACCGCAUGGUUCAAAAGUGAAAGACGGUCUUGCUGUCACUUAUAGAUGGAUCCGCGCUGCAUUAGCUAGUUGGUAAGGUAACGGCUUACCAAGGCAACGAUGCAUAGCCGACCUGAGAGGGUGAUCGGCCACAAUGGAAGUGCGACAAGGUGCCGACGCCUACGGGAGGCAGCAGUAGGGAAGCUUCCGGAAUGGGGGGAAGCCUGACGGAGCAACGCCGCGUGAGUGAUGAAGGUCUUCGGAUCGUAAAACUCUGUUAUUAGGGAAGAACAUAUGUGGAAGUAACUGUGCACAUCUUGACGGUACCUAAUCAGAAAGCCACGGCUAACUACGUG
rnacentral:rRNA from 1 species